AUGGCCACCAGGCUCCUCUGCUGCGUGGCCCUUUGUCUCCUGGGAGUAGAGCCCACCCCUGCUGGAGUCACUCAGACACCCAGGCACGUGGUGACAAAGAAGGGAGAACACGUAACUCUGCUCUGUGAGCGCAUUUCGGAGCACACUUACCUGUACUGGUACAGACAGAGCUCUCUGCAGGGACCUCAGUUUCUGGCUUCCUUCCGCAAUAAAGAGCCUCUGGACAAAUCAGGGCUGCCCCAGGAGCGAUUCUCGGCCAGGAUGCUCAGUGAGUCUCUCUCCUCUCUGGAGAUCGAGCCGGCGGAGCCCGGGGACUCGGCCCUGUUCCUCUGCGCCAGCAGCUCGGCCACAGCGCUGCAGAGCCGGGGCCUGGCUGUGCACAAAGCCUCCCCGCCCCCCGCCGCAGGCCCCGGGAGAGUCUUCCUGUCCCUCUAG